CGUAUGCAAUCUGCCUUCCACAGAGGGAUAGCCCAGAGAAAUUUGGAUUAAUACCUCAUAGCAUCAUGACCCGGCAUCGGGAUAUGAUUAAAGUCACAACGGUGGAAGAUGAGCAUGCGUCCCAUUAGCUAGUUGGUAAGGUAACGGCUUACCAAGGCUACGAUGGGUAGGGGUCCUGAGAGGGAGAUCCCCCACACUGGUACUGAGACACGGACCAGACUCCUACGGGAGGCAGCAGUGAGGAAUAUUGGUCAAUGGGCGCAAGCCUGAACCAGCCAUGCCGCGUGCAGGAUGACGGUCCUAUGGAUUGUAAACUGCUUUUGUACGGGAAGAAACCCUCCUACGUGUAGGAGCUUGACGGUACCGUAAGAAUAAGGAUCGGCUAACUCCGUGCCAGCAGCCGCGGUAAUACGGAGGAUCCAAGCGUUAUCCGGAAUCAUUGGGUUUAAAGGGUCUGUAGGCGGUCUUGUAAGUCAGUGGUGAAAGCCCAUCGCUCAACGGUGGAACGGCCAUUGAUACUGCUGGACUUGAAUUAUUGGGAAGCAACUAGAAUAUGUAGUGUAGCGGUGAAAUGCUUAGAGAUUACAUGGAAUACCAAUUGCGAAGGCAGGUUGCUACCAAUGGAUUGACGCUGAUGGACGAAAGCGUGNUAGCGAACAGGAUUAGAUACCCUGGUAGUCCACGCCGUAAACGAUGGAUACUAGCUGUUGGGCGCAAGUUCAGUGGCUAAGCGAAAGUGAUAAGUAUCCCACCUGGGGAGUACGAACGCAAGUUUGAAACUCAAGGGAAUUGACGGGGGCCCGCACAAGCGGUGGAGCAUGUGGUUUAAUUUCGAUGAUACGCGAGGAACCUUACCAAGGCUUAAAUGCAGACUGACCGGUUUGGAAACAGACCUUUCGCAAGACGGUCUACAAGGUGCUGCAUGGUUGUCGUCAGCUCGUGCCGUGAGGUGUCAGGUUAAGUCCUAUA
rnacentral:rRNA from 1 species